rnacentral:lncRNA from 1 species
CUCAGUAAUAGUGUGUCUUCUUUGUGUCAGGUUUCCAGAGUAGGUCCCAAAUCAAAUGCUGUCUUUAAGAUAGGCUAAGCCAUGCCUCUUUCCAUGGGCUAUAUUUGCAGCUACUGUAAAGAAAGCAACGUGACACUGACCUUCCUUUAAUCAGCUGCCUUUUGCAGCAUCAGGAAGAUUUUGAUGCACUUGACUGCCCACCUGGCUGAGGUAUAUGCCAA